rnacentral:rRNA from 1 species
GAUGAACGCUAGCGGCAGGCUUAACACAUGCAAGUCGAGGGGUAUGGUUCUUCGGAACCAGAGACCGGCGCACGGGUGCGUAACGCGUAUGCAAUCUACCUUUUACUGAGGGAUAGCCCAGAGAAAUUUGGAUUAAUACCUCAUAGUAUAACAUGACCGCAUGGUCGAGUUAUUAAAGUCACAACGGUAAAAGAUGAGCA